AUAGUGUGCUAGGAGUGCUGGUGUUGCCAGCUGAGAUGGAGCCGUAAGCUCUGGAUUCUUUCAACCUGAUCUAGUUCAUACUAGCGUAGGGAAGCCGUUUCGACCGAAA
rnacentral:ncRNA from 2 species